UGGGGAAUUUUGGACAAUGGGCGAAAGCCUGAUCCAGCAAUGCCGCGUGUGUGAAGAAGGCCUUCGGGUUGUAAAGCACUUUUGUCCGGAAAGAAAUGGCUCUGGUUAAUACCUGGGGUCGAUGACGGUACCGGAAGAAUAAGGACCGGCUAACUACGUGCCAGCAGCCGCGGUAAUACGUAGGGUCCAAGCGUUAAUCGGAAUUACUGGGCGUAAAGCGUGCGCAGGCGGUUGUGCAAGACCGAUGUGAAAUCCCCGAGCUUAACUUGGGAAUUGCAUUGGUGACUGCACGGCUAGAGUGUGUCAGAGGGGGGUAGAAUUCCACGUGUAGCAGUGAAAUGCGUAGAGAUGUGGAGGAAUAUCGAUGGCGAAGGCAGCCCCCUGGGAUAACACUGACGCUCAUGCACGAAAGCGUGGGGAGCAAACAGGAUUAGAUACCCUGGUAGUCCACGCCCUAAACGAUGUCAACUAGUUGUUGGGAUUCAUUUCCUUAGUAACGUAGCUAACGCGUGAAGUUGACCGCCUGGGGAGUACGGUCGCAAGAUU
rnacentral:rRNA from 1 species